rnacentral:lncRNA from 1 species
UCUCAAUUAAAGGCACAUAGAGAGUCCUGGCUGAAUUUCCCUGAGCAGCUGUUGUCUGGGUUUCCUUCCUCAAGCCCCCAUCCUGACCCCUGAAGGCUUCAGGAGAGGGAGCAAAGGAAGGAGGACCAGGUCCCACACUGCUGAGAGCUGAAUCUGCCAAUAACCAGACUGAGGCUGGGCGAGGAGGUGUGCCUUGAGGCAAUUAUGAAACCUCAAGUCCUCGACUCAAGGGCACAAGCCUACCCUCUUUAACCAUACAAGAUGACUAAGGAGACACAGCCAAGGAUUGAGACCAUGCAUUCCAGAGGAUUCAUGUUCAUGUGCUGCUGGGCGAGGGGUCUGCGAUGGGAAACCCACAGUGCUGAGCUCCUGAGAAGAUACAGGGAUCACAGCAAAGCGAUUGAAUUAGAUGUCCAUCAUUGAUGAGCUAAUUUGGGAGGAAUCAGUCAUUCUUUGCAGAAGCCUGGUCAAGCCCUGUGAGAUAGUGGUGCCUCAGCAAACUUGUGUCCUCAAGGCGGGUCCCAGGUCUCAGAGCAGCAAGAAAGAAGCUUCUACAGUGUUGUAGACUGCUCUCUCAGAGCAAUGCUCCAGGGAGCCAACCACACUGAGGAAAGAACUCAGUGAAGUUCAUAGCUGAGGCUCCGAGGGAGCUCACUAUGAGUUUGUGAACACAAAAUAAAAUUAAUCUUACAGAAAAUUUAAAUUUGGUUUUUUCAGAUCAU